rnacentral:tRNA from 1 species
GCAGUGGUGGUUCAGUGGUAGAAUGCUCACUUUCCACGUGGGAAACCUGGGUCUCCCAGCCAACGCA